CCUACGGGUGGCAGCAGUGAGGAAUAUUGGUCAAUGGGCGGGAGCCUGAACCAGCCAAGUCGCGUGAGGGAAGACGGUCCUAUGGAUUGUAAACUUCUUUUAUAUGGGAAUAAAAUGUUCCACGUGUGGGAUUUUGUAUGUACCAUAUGAAUAAGGAUCGGCUAACUCCGUGCCAGCAGCCGCGGUAAUACGGAGGAUCCGAGCGUUAUCCGGAUUUAUUGGGUUUAAAGGGAGCGUAGGUGGAUUGUUAAGUCAGUUGUGAAAGUUUGCGGCUCAACCGUAAAAUUGCAGUUGAAACUGGCAGUCUUGAGUACAGUAGAGGUGGGCGGAAUUCGUGGUGUAGCGGUGAAAUGCUUAGAUAUCACGAAGAACUCCGAUUGCGAAGGCAGCUCACUGGACUGCAACUGACACUGAGGCUCGAAAGUGUGGGUAUCAAACAGGAUUAGAUACCCCUGUAGUC
rnacentral:rRNA from 1 species